AAUUAACUUUUUUUUGCUGAUGAACUGUAUAAAUGAGUGUCUAAUAGUGUUUUAAAUGUGUGCAUUCUUUAUUUUAGCAUUUUGGUGCAUUUUCUUUAAAAAUUAAAAAUUCUGUCUAAAAACCACAGUAAUGCGCCACCUUCAGCUGAAAACAUAGAAUUUGAGUCAUUUUGAAUAAAUUUUAGCCAAUGGCUAAAGAGUAAAGUACUACGUAAACCAGUAGAGUACUACGUAGCAGCUCCGUGCCAAAGUUAUAAAAGCAACGAGCGUCUCGGCCACGCCCUGUGGCGAGUGGGAGUUGGAUUUGCAAGCGAGUGUAGGUGGUCAGCGGUAGUUCAGCAUUAGCGUAUAGCAUUAGCAUAUCCUAGUCUUUAGCAUAUCUUUUAGUGUUAUAAAUACUUAUUUAGUGUUAGCUUGGCUGUUGUAUAUUAUAGUUUAGUUAGUGUUUGGCUGUUAGUGUAAUUGGGAAAGUAGUUCGGGUUUAGUGUUCCAUAUCGUCUUAGUAUUGGUGAGUAGGUGUAGUGUAGUAUGGUUGCGGUGACUCUGUGGGCAUUUUACCCGCGAUUCUGCACGUCUCCGUUUGAAGAGGGAGGCUGUGCCCACCGUGGCUCUUCCGCGAUUUAGAUGCAGCCCACCGACUCUGCUCCCCCACCACGGCGGGCUCCAGUCUGAGGUGAGUCAGCUAAAUAAACGUUUUAACAUCUUCUAAAGACAAUUCCCUACCUAAAUGCAAAGUCUGAGAGACGUGGUUCACUUCCUUUAGCUAGUCAGUCGGCAAUUCUGCAACAGUGACUAACUGACGCAGCACUUGUUGACAGCAUUACAGCGUGAAAUCCAGCUUGUGACCCGGUUCUGUGAGGAAUUCUGUUCAGGAGGUCGCAUUUCAGGCUCUCCACAUCAUAUGUGACUGACUUUUACGUUAUAACAACGAUCACACACUAGGAAUGUUAUAAAGCGCCUAUAUAGGAGAUUCUUUUGUAUAUUAUCUGACUAUAAACUCCAACAACAAUGUGCUUCUAUUUUUUUUUCAGGCUAAAUCUACCCAAGACACUGGCUGUCAGACUGAUUUAGCUGCAUGAAUGUACUUGUCCAGGCUGAUGUGAAACCUUCCCUGUAGCAAAGCCAGCCAGAAUGGAGUUCACAGCCGCAGUGUGUCUGGUGACCCACGGGGACCAUGAUGAAAAUUCAUCUUCCAGAAGGUCCCAGAGCGUCCAGACCCCCUGAAAAGACCAAGGUGUGAGGUGUCUGCUGUUGAUUCCAGCUUCCACCUCAGUGACAGUGCAAGCUCAGUGAACUGUUCAAGCCUGGCUGAUCACCUGAUAACUCCUGUCAUCUGGUUAUGACAGCAUGAGGAUGUCCUCACACACCUGUAACCUAUCAGCUCAUCUGGCAGAAUAGAGAGAGAAGAGACAACACCACAUCUCCUGUUCCUGGAAAGCCUUCAGCCAUCCUUCGAUGACUGAGAACCUCCAUCAGCUCUGUCUCCUGUCUGCCUACAAUUAUUAUAAUAAAUAUUGUGUUUGACAAGUUUUUUGUUCUGCCAAAUAU